UACGUAGGUGGCAAGCGUUGUCCGGAUUUACUGGGUGUAAAGGGCGUGCAGCCGGGCUGACAAGUCAGAUGUGAAAUCCCGAGGCUUAACCUCGGAACUGCAUUUGAAACUGUUGGUCUUGAGUAUCGGAGAGGUCAUCGGAAUUCCUUGUGUAGCGGUGAAAUGCGUAGAUAUAAGGAAGAACACCAGUGGCGAAGGCGGAUGACUGGACGACAACUGACGGUGAGGCGCGAAAGCGUGGGGAGCGAACAGGAUUAGAUACCCUGGUAGUCCACGCUGUAAACGAUGGAUACUAGGUGUGCGGGGACUGACCCCCUGCGUGCCGCAGUUAACACAAUAAGUAUCCCACCUGGGGAGUACGAUCGCAAGGUUGAA
rnacentral:rRNA from 1 species